UACAGAGGUCUCAAGCGUUGUUCGGAUUCAUUGGGCGUAAAGGGUGCGUAGGCGGCGCGGUAAGUCGGGUGUGAAAUCUUGGAACUUAACUCCGAAACUGCAUUCGAUACUGCCGUGCUUGAGGACUGGAGAGGAGACUGGAAUUUACGGUGUAGCGGUGAAAUGCGUAGAUAUCGUAAGGAAGACCAGUGGCGAAGGCGGGUCUCUGGACAGUUCCUGACGCUGAAGCACGAAGGCCAGGGGAGCAAACGGG
rnacentral:rRNA from 1 species